UACGUAGGGUGCGAGCGUUAAUCGGAAUUACUGGGCGUAAAGCGUGCGCAGGCGGUUUUUUUAAGACAGGCGUGAAAAUCCCCCGGGCUUAACCUGGGAACUGCGCUUGUGACUGGAAGGCUAGAGUACGGCAGAGGGGGGGUGGAAUUCCACGUGUAGCAGUGAAAUGCGUAGAUAUGCGGAGGAACACCGAUGGCGAAGGCAAUCCCCUGGGCCUGCACUGACGCUCAUGCACGAAAGCGUGGGGAGCAAACAGG
rnacentral:rRNA from 1 species